rnacentral:rRNA from 1 species
UUGAUGAGAGUUUGAUCCUGGCUCAGGAUGAACGCUGGCGGCGUGCCUAAUACAUGCAAGUAGAACGCUGAAGAAAGAGCUUGCUCUUUUGGAAGAGUUGCGAACGGGUGAGUAA